rnacentral:rRNA from 1 species
GAUGAACGCUGGCGGCGUGCCUAAUACAUGCAAGUCGAGCGAACUGAUUAGAAGCUUGCUUCUAUGACGUUAGCGGCGGACGGGUGAGUAACACGUGGGCAACCUGCCUGUAAGACUGGGAUAACUUCGGGAAACCGAAGCUAAUACCGGAUAGGAUCUUCUCCUUCAUGGGAGAUGAUUGAAAGAUGGUUUCGGCUAUCACUUACAGAUGGGCCCGCGGUGCAUUAGCUAGUUGGUGAGGUAACGGCUCACCAAGGCAACGAUGCAUAGCCGACCUGAGAGGGUGAUCGGCCACACUGGGACUGCGACACGGCCCAGGCUCCUACGGGAGGCAGCAGUAGGGAAUCUUCCGCAAUGGACGAAAGUCUGACGGAGCAACGCCGCGUGAGUGAUGAAGGCUUUCGGGUCGUAAAACUCUGUUGUUAGGGAAGAACAAGUACAAGAGUAACUGCUUGUACCUUGACGGUACCUAACCAGAAAGCCACGGCUAACUACGUGCCAGCCGCCGCGGUAA